rnacentral:rRNA from 1 species
UACGGGGGGGGGCAAGCGUUGUUCGGAAUUACUGGGCGUAAAGGGCUCGUAGGCGGCCAACUAAGUCAGACGUGAAAUCCCUCGGCCUAACCGGGGAACUGCGUCUGAUACUGGAUGGCUUGAAUCCGGGAGAGGGAUGCGGAAUUCCAGGUGUAGCGGUGAAAUGCGUAGAUAUCUGGAGGAACACCGGUGGCGAAGGCGGCAUCCUGGACCGGCAUUGACGCUGAGGAGCGAAAGCCAGGGGAGCAAACGGG